rnacentral:lncRNA from 1 species
UGCCCCUUCUCCUUCUGUUGCAGGUGAGCUUUUCUCCUUGCUGUCUCUGAGGUUACACUUCUUUCUAUGUCAAGGCCCAAGAGUCUUGCUCCUGAAAGGAUCUGCUGUCCUGAUGGAACUUUCCUAACUGGGGACUCUUCCCGGUUUCCUUAGGAUUCUGAUCCAGAAUGCAUGCAGGGAAAUUGUUGGGUGACUUCCCGUAGUGACCUUGAGCGUGUCCGCAGAGGCUCAGCUGUAAUUUCUCGUGUGGCACGCAAGGAAGGUAGGCUGGUAGGUAGAUGGAGAGCUUCUUGCUCAGCACCCUCAAAGUGACUUGGGUGAAGGGCAGACUCAUAGGGCAGCAUGAACCUGGUAUUAGAGAGUGAGCUCGCUCUUAUCUAGUUCAAGUAGGAGAAAAAAAAAAAGCCUCUAAAUAAACAAGUGCUGUAACCUCACCUCAGAGAACGGUUCUGAGUUAGCGUCCUCUUUUCUCUGCACUCGGACUCUGCCAACAGUCUGAGGGGACCUGGUGGGAUUUACCAGCUUUGAAGUCCUAAGGUGCUAUUUUAAUACUUUUCUUUUACAUUGCAGGUUUCGAGGCCGAUUUAACUAGAUUCUGGAGGGAGCUUUUACUUUACACCAUUCUUAAGAGCCCGGACAAUCUUGAAAGAGUUAAACCCUAAUUAGCUCAUUCCUAAGGGUUCUUCUAGAAUGGAAGAAUGCUGAAUCUCUCAGUGCCUUCAACCUCGGACAUGAGCAUACAGACCUUGCCUGUGUGUCUGUCCUUUGUCCCCAGAGGUGCCACUGUGAGAGCCCCAGUCACGUGAUCUCUUCUGGCCACACAGAGUCAGCUCACCUCUGCGGCAUCCCACGUAAUAAAGCCCUGUCAUGUUCGUUUCCAGUCACCCUGCUUCAACCUAGCUUUGCUUUUCUGUGGCUUUGGGUUUUGGGUGCUCUGCCCAUGUCCUUGGUUCAUCUCUGUUCAUUCUGAGUUCUCCACUUGAGUGUACUCACCAGGCCCCACUUUUUGAGGUCAAGACUGCUGUCUUCAUACCCUUGGAGGCUGACCUGUCCCCCAUUGAACCCCAGUGUGGGUGUGAGGUGCCCACACCAACACCCCUGACACAGGGGUGCCCCAGGUCAACCUGCUGUUUCUUCCCAUCUCCUCCAAGGUUUGCCCGAUUCCAAUCUUCAGUGGCUGUAGCAAAUUAUUUUCUACAG